rnacentral:rRNA from 1 species
UACAGAGGGUGCAAGCGUUAAUCGGAAUGACUGGGCGUAAAGCGCACGUAGGUGGAUAUUUAAGUCGGGUGUGAAACCCCCGGGCUCAACCUGGGAAUGGCAUUCGAUACUGGAUAUCUGGAGUACGAUAGAGGGUAGAGGAAUUUCUGGUGUAGCGGUGAAAUGCGUAGAUAUCAGAAGGAACAUCGGUGGCGAAGGCGUCUACCUGGAUUGAUACUGACACUGAGGAGCGAAAGCAUGGGUAGCAAACAGGAUUAGAUACCCUGGUAGUCCAUGCUGUAAACGAUGAGUACUAGCUGUUGGGUUGACUUCGGUUGAUUUAGUGGCGCAGCAAACGCGAUAAGUACUCCGCCUGGGGAAUACGGCCGCAAGGUUG